rnacentral:rRNA from 1 species
UAGGGAAUCUUCCACAAUGGACGCAAGUCUGAUGGAGCAACGCCGCGUGAGUGAAGAAGGUUUUCGGAUCGUAAAGCUCUGUUGUUGGUGAAGAAGGAUAGAGGCAGUAACUGGUCUUUAUUUGACGGUAAUCAACCAGAAAGUCACGGCUAACUACGUGCCAGCAGCCGCGGUAAUACGUAGGUGGCAAGCGUUGUCCGGAUUUAUUGGGCGUAAAGCGAGCGCAGGCGGAAUGAUAAGUCUGAUGUGAAAGCCCACGGCUCAACCGUGGAACUGCAUCGGAAACUGUCAUUCUUGAGUGCAGAAGAGGAGAGUGGAAUUCCAUGUGUAGCGGUGGAAUGCGUAGAUAUAUGGAAGAACACCAGUGGCGAAGGCGGCUCUCUGGUCUGUAACUGACGCUGAGGCUCUAAAGCAUGGGUAGCGAACAGG